CUUUUCCAUGUGUGUGCGAUGUAAGACAAAGUGCGCCAGGCAGGCUUUUUGUUAGGUGUUUUUAUUUUACAUGGCAACUCUCGUGGCUGCAGCCUUGGAAUUGCCUGUUUCUGCCUCGGUGUGUUGUUUGCUCGUGAGCAGUGCCCUACGUGCUCACAGCGUCGGUGCGGAGCAGCCGUUCCGCACCUUCCUGCGCCCUGCCCCCUGUUCGGUCCCCUGUGCAGUAGUUCCUGCAGUUAAAAUGGGCUUUACAGAGCAAGAGAAGCAAAUUUUGGGAGCAUGA
rnacentral:lncRNA from 1 species